rnacentral:sRNA from 1 species
CGCUGAGUCUGGGACCACUCGGGGUCCCGGAGCCGGGGAACCAACCACUCUGGGGUGAAUCCCGCACGAGGUGCGACCACGACGUCCGACCGGACGGCGGGGGAGCGAGGAGUGCGGGUAGGGCGAGUCGUGCCCGAAUCCGUCAGCUCACCCGGUAGGCGUA